rnacentral:rRNA from 1 species
CAUACGACCGUACCGCAAACCGACACUGGUGCGCGAGAUGAGUAUUCUAAGGCGCUUGAGAGAACUCAGGAGAAGGAACUCGGCAAAUUGACACCGUAACUUCGGAAGAAGGUGUGCCCUAUUAGUGUGUAGUGAACAACGAAGCAUGAAUGGGUUGCAAAAAAUCGGUGGCUGCGACUGUUUAUUAAAAACACAGCACUCUGCAAACACGAAAGUGGACGUAUAGGGUGUGACGCCUGCCCGGUGCUGGAAGAUUAAAUGAUGGGGUGCAAGCUCUUGAUUGAAGUCCCAGUAAACGGCGGCCGUAAUAAUAACGGUCCUAAGGUAGCGAAAUUCCUUGUCGGGUAAGUUCCGACCUGCACGAAUGGCGUAACGAUGGCCACACUGUCUCCUCCUGAGACUCAGCGAAGUUGAAAUGUUUGUGAUGAUGCAAUCUCCCCGCGGAAAGACGGAAAGACCCCAUGAACCUUUACUGUAGCUUUGUAUUGGACUUUGAACAGAUCUGUGUAGGAUAGGUGGGAGGCUUUGAAGCAGGGUCGCUAGAUCUUGUGGAGCCAACGUUGAAAUACCACCCUGGUGUGUUUGAGGUUCUAACCUAGGUCCAUUAUCUGGAUCGGGGACAGUGCAUGGUAGGCAGUUUGACUGGGGCGGUCUCCUCCCAAAGCGUAACGGAGGAGUUCGAAGGUACGCUAGUUACGGUCGGACAUCGUGACGAUAGUGCAAUGGCAUAAGCGUGCUUAACUGCGAGACUGACAAGUCGAGCAGAUGCGAAAGCAGGACAUAGUGAUCCGGUGGUUCUGUAUGGAAGGGCCAUCGCUCAACGGAUAAAAGGUACUCUGGGGAUAACAGGCUGAUACCGCCCAAGAGUUUAUAUCGACGGCGGUGUUUGGCACCUCGAUGUCGGCUCAUCUCAUCCUGGGGCUGUAGCCGGUCCCAAGGGUAUGGCUGUUCGCCAUUUAAAGAGGUACGUGAGCUGGGUUUAAAACGUCGUGAGACAGUUUGGUCCCUAUCUUCCGUGGGCGCUGCAGAUUUGAGGAAGCCUGCUCCUAGUACGAGAGGACCGGAGUGGACACACCUCUGGUGUAUCGGUUGUCACGCCAGUGGCAUUGCCGAGUAGCUAAGUGUGGAAGAGAUAACCGCUGAAAGCAUCUAAGCGGGAAACUCGUUUCAAGAUGAGAUCUGCCGGGGCCUUGAGCCCCCUAAAGAGUCGUUCAAGACCAGGACGUUGAUAGGUCAGGUGUGGAAGC